CCUACGGGGGGCAGCAGUGAGGAAUAUUGGUCAAUGGCCGGAAGGCUGAACCAGCCAAGCCGCGUGAAGGACGAAGGUGCCAAGCAUUGUAAACUUCUUUUGUCAAGGGACAAAAUCAGGCUCGAGAGCCUGACCGAGGGUACUUGAAGAAACAGCCUCGGCAAACUCCGUGCCAGCAGCCGCGGUAAUACGGAGGAUGCGAGCGUUAUCCGGAUUUAUUGGGUUUAAAGGGUGCGUAGGCGGACUGUUAAGUCAGCGGUAAAAGCCCGGGGCUCAACCCCGGCGAGCCGUUGAAACUGGCGGUCUUGAGAUGUCGAGAGGUAUGCGGAAUGCGCAGUGUAGCGGUGAAAUGCUUAGAUAUUGCGCAGAACUCCGAUUGCGAAGGCAGCAUACCGGCGGCGAUCUGACGCUGAGGCACGAAAGCGUGGGUAUCGAACAGGAUUAGAUACCCGAGUAGUC
rnacentral:rRNA from 1 species